rnacentral:lncRNA from 1 species
AAAUUAGAAAUGAAGUCAAAUGGUUUAUAACUUGAGAUGAUUAAUUAGGGGUGGACAAUGUCGAAGUGCUGAUGGAGAAAGAAUCGCGCGCUCGUUUAUAGUUUUAUGGCCGUAAUUUUGACUUGCUUAAACUCUGCAGCUGCAGACUGCAUGUGACAUUGUGAGAGGUUUCGCUGGACGUUAAAGUUUUAGAAUGGCCAGUAGUUGUAAAGAAAAAGUCAGAUGAAGAGAUCUAAGUUAUAAUACUAAUAGUACCUGACCCUCCCAGGUGCCAUACAACACGACCGAAUACUAACAAAGACAAGAGAAAGGAAAAGCAUUUUGGCCACUGUGCCUGAGGAUGAAAUUCUGUCCAAUGUGUAUGAAAGUUUAGAGAAACAUAUUUUUGCCAUGGCUCAUGUUUUGCAGCAAACAGCCAUUGUUAUAUCUGAUACAAUGUUAAAAUAUUCAACAGGAGAACAUUUUGCUUCAAUUCCUUUUGGUAGAAAUUAUCUUCCAUUGGCACUCUCAAAAUGUCAAGUCAUCACUUUGCUUCACAUAUGAUGUUGUCCAAUUUUCUGCUUUGGUUGUUAUGGAAAUGGAACUUCCACUGAUAAAACAGUGGACACACAGCAGCUAUUCCAUUGACUGAUUCUUACUACAAACUACUUCCACUCCAGUUUUUGUUGAAUAGGAGUUAAAUUGUAUUGUGAUGAAAACGACCACUGGAUCAUAUCAAAACUCAUGCUAACAGACAAGUAGGCUUGCUGUAAAAAUGCUUUGACAUUGUAGAAAUUUCUAUUUCACUUCUUCAGGUAAAAAAAGGUGUUUCAGUAAUGACAAAUGGAUUUUCUGAUGAUAAAAAUAAAUCACCUUAUGUUAGUUCCAAUUUUGAUGAAACAAUAUCUGAUUCAGGAAAUAGUUUACAGCAUAAGAAAAAAGCUUUUAAACAGUUCUACACUGUUAAUAAACUGUUUGGCAUAAUUGGAAAAAUCACGAGUAAGAAGUUAAAAAACAUACAAAGUAGCUGGUAAUAUUACUAAAAACUGUAAUUUUUUUAAAGGGUGUUGCUGAAUUACCUGUGAUUGUUUCACUGAAAGAAAAAGAACCUUUAUGUAUCAUCUUCUGUAGAAUGGGAGAGUUAGUUAAGAGCUGGAUGGCCUUUUGCUUGAAGGAAACUUUAAUGCAGACUUCAAGGUCUGAAGAUCAUGUAGUAAUGAUAGAGAAAUUGUUAUAUGAAUUAUUAUGACAUCAGAUCUGAAUAUAUGAACAAACAGACGAGUGUCUGGGUUAAUGUAAUGGAUGGCCAGUUCUGUUUCAUACUUCUAAAUGUUCACAUACUAGUGUUGAAGUGGCAUUUUGUUUUGCCACUACACAUGUACUUAUACAGACCCUUGAAUAUAGAAGUGUUGGUAUUUGAA